GUUUCACAUUCGGAACUAUUGGACGAUAGUGUUUAGUAUAAAGAGUUCCAAAAUUUCAAGAACAUUUGAAUAUACAUACUUAAGUUUACUGAAACCAGAACCGAAGCGUCUCACCCGAUAUGUCUGUGGUAAGUUGUAAAAGUGUGUGUGUGUUUCUGAAGUGUCACAUCGAGCUAUCUGCUGUGUUCAACGAGAGGAAUCUAACCCAAUAUUUCUGUGGUCAAUCGACUUGGCUGUUUUAAAGUUCCCGCUACCUCAGUCACUGAACUGGAAAAAGUGAUCCUCAACAAAUCGUAUGUAACAUCAAAACUCAAUUAUUCAAGUACAGUUUAGAAGAAGACAGGGCAGUGAAAAAAAUAUUGAAAUAUG